ensembl:lncRNA
GGGAGGAGUAACUGACACACUAGAAGGCUAUGCUGCCAUUCAACAAGACCUUGAUGGACUGGAGAAUUGGGCAGAAAGGGGGGUUCAGCAAGGGUAAAUGUAAGUUCCUGCACCUGGGGAGGAAUAACUGCACGCAUCAGUACAGGUUAGGGGCUGACCUGCUGGAGAGAAGCUCUGAGGAAAAGAACCUGAGUAUCCUGGUGGACAAGUGGUUGGCCCUGAGCCAGUGGUAUGUUUUUGUGGCCAAGAAGGCCAGUCGUAUCUAGGGAUGCAUUAAAAAGAAUGUGGCCAGCAAGUUGAGGGAGGUGAUCCUGCCCGUCUACUCUUCCCUGGUGAGCCCACAUCUGGAGCAGUGUCCAAUUCUGGACUCCUUGGUUCAAAAAAGGCAGGGAUAUUCUAGAGAGAGUCCUGCAGGGGGCCACAAAGAUGACGAGGGGUCUGGAGCAUCUCCCAUAUGAGGAAGGGCUGAGAGACCUGGGCCUGUUCAGCCAAAACUGAAAGAUGGUACUGUCUAUGUUUGGAAAUAUCUGACGUGCAGGAGACAAAUGGAUGGGGCCAGGCUUUUUCAGUCGUGUGGUGACAGAAUGGGGAGCAGUGGGUAAACACCAGAAGUUCCAUGCAAACAUAGAAAAAAAUAUUUACUGUGAGGGUGAUGGUACACUGGAACAGGCUGUUUGGAUAGGCUGUGGAGUCUCCUUCUCUGAGGGUAUUCAAGACCUGCCUGGAUGCUUUCCUGUGCAACCUACUGUAGGGAACCUGCUUUAUCAGGAGAUUGGGCUCAAUGAUCUCCAGACGUCCCUUCUGACUACUGUGAUUUCUGGAGAAGCUGGCAGUCCGUGGCUUGGAUAGGACCUUUCAAAUAAACAAGGUUAAAAUUGACUGGAGAAAUUUGAGAUUCCCUUUUGACAUGUCUGCUGGCCUCUAGAGGAGUUGUUCCUGGCCUCUUUCUUGAAGACCACAGAAGAAACAUUUUCUUUGACCCUGUAAUUCUUCCACCUGGCAGGUAGUCAUGACGAUGAUCUCUUUGCCGCAACUUCUUACACUGAUGUUGGUUUGUGUGAUGGCUGUUAGAUCAUUGUACUGCAUCAAUCAAGUAAAGCUGGCCAAGCUUGCCUCACCUUUCUAAACUGGUGGAGCAGUUUAUUUGAUCUACUGUUUUUU